UACGGAGGGGGCGAGCGUUAUUCGGAAUUAUUGGGCGUAAAGGGCGCGUAGGCGGCUUUGUAAGUUAGAGGUGAAAGCCCGGAGCUUAACUCGGGAACUGCAUCUGAAACUGCUUUACUUGAGUCCUGGAUGGGGUAGUGGAAUUCCCAGUGUAGCGGUGAAAUGCGUAGAUAUUGGGAGGAACACCUGCGGCGAAGGCGGCUACCUGGACAGUGACUGACGCUGAGGCGCGAAAGCUAGGGGAGCGAACGGG
rnacentral:rRNA from 1 species